AAAUUGAAGAGUUUGAUCAUGGCUCAGAUUGAACGCUGGCGGCAGGCCUAACACAUGCAAGUCGAACGGUAGCAGGAAGCAGCUUGCUGCUUCGCUGACGAGUGGCGGACGGGUGAGUAAUGUCUGGGAAACUGCCUGAUGGAGGGGGAUAACUACUGGAAACGGUGGCUAAUACCGCAUAACGUCGCAAGACCAAAGAGGGGGACCUUCGGGCCUCUUGCCAUCAGAUGUGCCCAGAUGGGAUUAGCUAGUUGGUGAGGUAACGGCUCACCAAGGCGACGAUCCCUAGCUGGUCUGAGAGGAUGACCAGCCACACUGGAACUGAGACACGGUCCAGACUCCUACGGGAGGCAGCAGUGGGGAAUAUUGCACAAUGGGCGCAAGCCUGAUGCAGCCAUGCCGCGUGUAUGAAGAAGGCCUUCGGGUUGUAAAGUACUUUCAGCGGGGAGGAAGGUGUUGUGGUUAAUAACCGCAGCAAUUGACGUUACCCGCAGAAGAAGCACCGGCUAACUCCGUGCCAGCAGCCGCGGUAAUACGGAGGGUGCAAGCGUUAAUCGGAAUUACUGGGCGUAAAGCGCACGCAGGCGGUCUGUCAAGUCGGAUGUGAAAUCCCCGGGCUCAACCUGGGAACUGCAUUCGAAACUGGCAGGCUUGAGUCUUGUAGAGGGGGGUAGAAUUCCAGGUGUAGCGGUGAAAUGCGUAGAGAUCUGGAGGAAUACCGGUGGCGAAGGCGGCCCCCUGGACAAAGACUGACGCUCAGGUGCGAAAGCGUGGGGAGCAAACAGGAUUAGAUACCCUGGUAGUCCACGCCGUAAACGAUGUCUACUUGGAGGUUGUGCCCUUGAGGCGUGGCUUCCGGAGCUAACGCGUUAAGUAGACCGCCUGGGGAGUACGGCCGCAAGGUUAAAACUCAAAUGAAUUGACGGGGGCCCGCACAAGCGGUGGAGCAUGUGGUUUAAUUCGAUGCAACGCGAAGAACCUUACCUGGUCUUGACAUCCACAGAACUUUCCAGAGAUGGAUUGGUGCCUUCGGGAACUGUGAGACAGGUGCUGCAUGGCUGUCGUCAGCUCGUGUUGUGAAAUGUUGGGUUAAGUCCCGCAACGAGCGCAACCCUUAUCCUUUGUUGCCAGCGGUCCGGCCGGGAACUCAAAGGAGACUGCCAGUGAUAAACUGGAGGAAGGUGGGGAUGACGUCAAGUCAUCAUGGCCCUUACGACCAGGGCUACACACGUGCUACAAUGGCGCAUACAAAGAGAAGCGACCUCGCGAGAGCAAGCGGACCUCAUAAAGUGCGUCGUAGUCCGGAUUGGAGUCUGCAACUCGACUCCAUGAAGUCGGAAUCGCUAGUAAUCGUGGAUCAGAAUGCCACGGUGAAUACGUUCCCGGGCCUUGUACACACCGCCCGUCACACCAUGGGAGUGGGUUGCAAAAGAAGUAGGUAGCUUAACCUUCGGGAGGGCGCUUACCACUUUGUGAUUCAUGACUGGGGUGAAGUCGUAACAAGGUAACCGUAGGGGAACCUGCGGUUGGAUCACCUCCUUACCUUAAAGAAGC
rnacentral:rRNA from 1 species